GAUGAACGCUGGCGGCGUGCCUAAUACAUGCAAGUCGAGCGAACGGACGAGAAGCUUGCUUCUCUGAUGUUAGCGGCGGACGGGUGAGUAACACGUGGAUAACCUACCUAUAAGACUGGGAUAACUUCGGGAAACCGUAGCUAAUACCGGAUAAUAUUUUGAACCGCAUGGUUCGAAAGUGAAAGACGGUCUUGCUGUCACUUAUAGAUGGAUCCGCGCUGCAUUAGCUAGUUGGUAAGGUAACGGCUUACCAAGGCAACGAUGCAUAGCCGACCUGAGAGGGUGAUCGGCCACACUGGAACUGAGACACGGUCCAGACUCCUACGGGAGGCAGCAGUAGGGAAUCUUCCGCAAAGGGCGAAAGCCUGACGGAGCAACGCCGCGUGAGUGAUGAAGGUCUUCGGAUCGUAAAACUCUGUUAUUAGGGAAGAACAUAUGUGUAAGUAACUGUGCACAUCUUGACGGUACCUAAUCAGAAAGCCACGGCUGACUACGUG
rnacentral:rRNA from 1 species